UAGGGAAUCUUCCACAAUGGACGAAAGUCUGAUGGAGCAACGCCGCGUGAGUGAAGAAGGGUUUCGGCUCGUAAAACUCUGUUGUUAAAGAAGAACAUAUCUGAGAGUAACUGUUCAGGUAUUGACGGUAUUUAACCAGAAAGUCACGGCUAACUACGUGUCAG
rnacentral:rRNA from 1 species